GACCCUCUCACAGGUGCGCAUUUUGUCCGUCCCUCUAAAAGCAUUAAUGGCAGGGUCUCGCGACUCUUCAGAAUGUCCCGUUAGGGGUCUGAUCAUCUCUCUCCACAGUUCUGGGAGUUCAUGGGGACGACACAGGGUAAAGAAACAGCCAAUGCGAUGCCCCAGUCUUCCUGUAGAUGCCCUGUCUGCAUCAGUGCUUGUAUCAGGAAGCAUUGCGGUGGCUGCUGGUCCAUCAUCAGUGGUCUUAGUGGAUUGUGGCCAAGACCCUGCUGGCCCUCCCCCACCUCCGUUGUUGCCAGGGAAACGUCAUUCACGUGUCCAGCCUGGUGGCCUCCAUUGGCCAGAAGCACGCUGCUCCGUACGUCGCCACCAAGGGAUUGGACGAUGAAGACACAGGAAAACCCAAGGCAGAGAAGAAGGAAAAGAAGAAGAAAUGGCAAUGGAAGAGAGGCAAGGAUAGGAAAGCCAAAAAUGUAUUUGGAGAGGAGUCAGCCAUUGUCACCACCUGCUCAGAUCAUCCAGCUCAGCACAUCAACAGUACUGAGCCACUGGCCCUUAUAACCGAUUGCACAGAGCAGCCAGGCCUCAGAGCCAACGGCGAAGAACAGCCAGGUCUGACAACCAGCUGCAUCGAGCUGUUGCCCCUGACAACCAGCGGUGAAGAACAGCCGGGUCUGAAAACCAGCUGCAUUGAGCUGUUGAACCUGACAACGAACUGCGCAGAACAGCCGACCCUCAGCGACUGCGCAG